rnacentral:rRNA from 1 species
AUUGAACGCUGGCGGCAUGCUUUACACAUGCAAGUCGAACGGUAACAGGCCGCAAGGUGCUGACGAGUGGCGAACGGGUGAGUAAUGCAUCGGAACGUGCCCAGUCGUGGGGGAUAACUACUCGAAAGAGUAGCUAAUACCGCAUACGAUCUAUGGAUGAAAGCGGGGGACCGUAAGGCCUCGCGCGAUUGGAGCGGCCGAUGUCAGAUUAGGUAGUUGGUGGGGUAAAGGCUCACCAAGCCAACGAUCUGUAGCUGGUCUGAGAGGACAACCAGCCACACUGGGACUGAGACACGGCCCAGACUCCUACGGGAGGCAGCAGUGGGGAAUUUUGGACAAUGGGCGCAAGCCUGAUCCAGCAAUGCCGCGUGCAGGAAGAAGGCCUUCGGGUUGUAAACUGCUUCUGUACGGAACGAAACGGCUCUGGUUAAUACCCGGGGCUAAUGACGGUACCGUAAGAAUAAGCACCGGCUAACUACGUG